CAGUAGCCGCGGUAAUACGUAGGGGGCAAGCGUUAUCCGGAAUAACUGGGCGUAAAGGGUGCGCAGGUGGUUUAACAAGUUAGUGGUGAAAGGCAUAGGCUCAACCAAUGUAAGCCAUUAAAACUGUUUAACUUGAGUGCAGGAGAGGAAAGUGGAAUUCCUAGUGUAGCGGUGAAAUGCGCAGAUAUCAGGAGGAACACCGGUGGCGAAGGCGGGUCUCUGGGCCGAUAUUGACGCUGAGGAGCGAAAGCGUGGGGAGCAAACAGGAUUAGAUACCCCCGUAGUCCCUGUCUCUUAUACA
rnacentral:rRNA from 1 species